AGAGAGAGAGAGAGAGAGAGAGAGGCAGCCUGUGCCUGCCCCUGCAGCAGGAGUCCAGAUCUGGUAUGAAAAGCAAACUGAGAGAGGGAAUGAGUGACCCUUUUUCUCCUUGUUUGGGAGCAUGAACGGCAAUUGUACCAGCAGCACAUGAGACAUCCGGAAAAGGAGAAUGAAAUACAUGAACUUGACAUGCUAAAUCUGGAGAAAAUAACACAACAAUUGGACAAUGAAAAGGUAUCCAAGCAAGAAGAUUUGGAGCAUGGGUCCGCUGCUUUGAAGGAAGGAAGAGGGAGCACUCUGAGUGCUGCACUGACCAAGUGUAAAAUUGCCAAAGGGGCUCUGAAGAGUCGCUUGGCAUUCCUGAAGGGAAAGACUUGUAUCCAGGCAGGCACUGGCAUUGAUCUUCAGUCCACUGCAACAUGCCUGAAUUAUUCCAGAGAUAUUUCUCAUCAAGAGGUGGGACUCUAUACCCCUGUCAGUGUAGGCCUGAUUGUUUCCUGCUACACCUGGAAUGGCUGCUCCAGCUCUGGAGCUUGCUGUUCAAAUCAGCUCCAGGCCAAAAGCUGGGCAUGGGCAGCUGCUUCUCCUGUGCCAGUGCAAGGGGAGGAAACGCAUGGGGGUUUGGAUUGGGUGUGGGAAAUAAUAGAGUAGAUGAGCAGAGUGAUGGAGUAAACUGAGCUGAAUUUAGCCCAAGAGGGCUGAACAGCAGCUGCACUGCUGGUGCUCUGAGGACACUUCCCAAGAUGGAUAUUUCUGAGGGACAGCUUUUUUGGUGUUUAAAAUAAGGGCAUCAUCUCCUCUCUGAAUACCCAGCAGGCUCUUGGAGCACAAGAGGAGCAGCUGUUUUGUGGCUCAGGGACCAGCCUGGACCCUAAGGAGCCAGUUACAUCAGCAGAGGAGGAGAAGAGAGAGAGGCCUGAAUUAUCCACUGUGCCCAGGAGAAGUGGCGAGCAGGUGGAACCUGACAGGAGAAUCACAGAUUUUAGGAGACUCUUCCUCCCAGACUACUUCAUGUUCCCUGUGCACAAGUCUACCCAUCAAAAUUGGUCGACUUUUGAAACAGAAGAGUCCUCCAGUAGCUCAGGAGAGUAGCAGCCCUCGUGCUGAUGCACAGCCUGUGGAGAAGAGGGUGUCCCUGCUGCAGUCACAGCUGGCCCGAGACCGACAGCACCACCUGGAGAGCUGUGCAGGGAGCAGGCAGGAGACACAAGGUGCAGAAGGGACCUCCUUGCUUCCUGAACAUCUCAGAGAGGAGCCAGCUGGAUGCAGUUUUAGACGUAGUCAAUAAUUUAUGUUUAAAGGUGGUAUAGUAUAGGAUAGUAUAGGUAAUAGUAAUUGAACCUUUAUACAACUGUGUUCUGUAGGAUGAAGGAUGUAUUGAUAGAGAAAUAAA